rnacentral:rRNA from 1 species
AUUGAACGCUGGCGGCAGGCCUAACACAUGCAAGUCGAGCGAGCGGCGGACGGGUGAGUAAUGUAUGGGGACUGCCCGAUAGAGGGGGAUAACUACUGGAAACGGUGGCUAAUACCGCAUACUAUCGGAUAACCCAUAUGGGAUUAGCUAGUAGGUGGGGUAAAGGCUCACCUAGGCGACGAUCUCUAGCUGGUCUGAGAGGAUGAUCAGCCACACUGGAACUGAUACACGGGCCAGACUCCUACGGAGGCAGCAGUGGGGAAUAUUGAACAAUGGGCGCAAGCCUGAUGCAGCCAUGCCGCGUGUGCGAUGAAGGCCUUCGGGUUGUAAAGCACUUUUAGCGGGAAAGCGGUACCUGCAGAAGAAGCACCGGCUAACUACGUGCCAGCCGCCGCGGUAAUUC